GAUCCUGGCUCAGGAUGAACGCUAGCUACAGGCUUAACACAUGCAAGUCGAGGGGCAGCAUUUUUAUAGCAAUAUAAAAGAUGGCGACCGGCGCACGGGUGAGUAACACGUAUCCAACCUGCCGAUAACUCGGGGAUAACCCUUCGAAAGAAGGCCUAAUACCCGAUGGCACAUCCCUUCCGCCUGGUUGGGAUAUUAAAGAACUUCGGUUAUCGAUGGGGAUGCGUUCCAUUAGGCAGUUGGUGAGGUAACGG
rnacentral:rRNA from 1 species